GCUGGGUGCGGGGCUCAGGGACAGAGCACUUGUCUAGCACGUGCGAGGCCCUGGGUUCGAUCCUCAGCACAGCA
rnacentral:tRNA from 1 species